GCUCUUCGAAGUCAAUAAGCUCACAUUCUUUUCCUUUUUCCAGGGUGCAACGCUUUCCACAAGUGACCUCCAAAGGUAAAACAGCUAAUCCUCUACGCUGAAAGCUGUGUUUUGUGUGCAUGUUUCAGAUUCUUACAGGAAAUGUUCGGUUAGACAGAUCUUUGUCUCUAAGAUUAGCAAUGGUUUCUGUUUUUUUACCUUUACAGAAAUGGAGUUGAUACGGAAGAAGAGAUAUUCCGUGUUACCUACUAUGGAAAGGGAAGAAUGCCGGUAAGAUCUUCUUCAAGAACAUCCUUGUAUAAAUCGAGAACGCCUUUGCAU
rnacentral:lncRNA from 1 species